rnacentral:lncRNA from 1 species
AGAUGGGACCAUAGGUUGCAGCCAGUUCGGCGAAGGACAGGUGAAGAUUAUCGGUGCCAAGAAAUGGAAGAUAUCCCACUAUCGGCAACCCUCGAGGACCUGGCGGCAACUGAGCGACGAUCUUCUUGGACUUCUUAACGAACCAUAGGUGCCAAAAUGAAAUUGCAAGUACGACCAUGACAAAGGAUAAGACAGCUCGAAAGAGUCCAUCUUUCGGCUUGCUCAAAUCUAAUAGCCAUGGAUUCAAGUUGUAAGCUGUCUGCAACAUCCUAGGGGGGUCUAGAGAAAAAAAGAUGAUGAUUCACAAUAAAAAAAAUAGUGAAAGUGAUAAGAAAGUAGACAUGAUUUUAUAUAGGAGAUUUAAUUAGAGGACAAAAUCAAUUAUGAAUGACUUGGCUGAAACUUGGCCUCAUAUAGACUUCAGGCUCUGAAAUUUGGUUUAAUCGUAACCUAUAAAACUAUUUUGAAAAAAAAAAUCAAUUAAUCCUUCUUUUUUUCCCAAAAUAUUCAACCAUGGAUCCAAUCAUAUUUUUAUUCUAGUUUAACCAAUUCAGCUUGGUUCAAAUAAUCAUGAUUUUUUUAGACUCAAUUGAGACAUUAAACUUACAAAAUUUACUAAAUCAAUUAUUUAACUAACGUUGAUGGUAAGUUUCUAAAAUUACUAAUACCAUUAUUAACAGUCACUAAAUCAACUAAUGAAUGCUGACUUGGCACUACCAUAUCAAUAAGAUAAAAAAAUAAAAUUAAAAAUUAAAAAUUCAAGUUCAAAAUGAACCUAGACAAAUAAUUUUGAAUCUAAACAAUUUAAAUUGAUUUUGUCUUUAUAGUAUUUUUUAGUUGAAAUCAAAGUAGUCACAGUUGAUAAAAAUAACUAAUUUUUUUGUCAUGGAAACUCUCCGAAAAUUUAUACAGUUAGUCAUAAAAUGUAUUUUAUUCCUAUAAAUGAGAAUUAAACUCCCAACCUUAUAAUUAAGGGAUGAGGUAAAUAAACACUACACUACACGGCUGAAUUUUUUAUGUUGUAUGGAAAGAUAAGAUUAUAGUAUAUGGAAAGAUAAGCUUGGACCACUCGCUGGAUGUGGUCAAAAUUUUCCAACUUUGAUUUCCAUUGCUGGACGCAUGUGUUGAUUGCCUUUCUUUGUUAGGGAGUGUUAACAAUGACAUUUCAAUAAUUUUUGGAUACGAGAUAACGAAUCAACAGAAAACGAUUGAACACCACAACCGGUCAAGACAGGAGGCUGAUUGCGACAACAAAAUGAAGGAAAAGAGAGCAAAUAUGUGCGGCAAUGGCAAAAAAUCAGCAAUAAAGUCCAGCCACAACAGAGAAGUGAAGAGAUGAAUAAAAUUAAAAGAAAACGAGAGGAGAAGACGAUCAAUGGGGUGCGACGGCCACAAGUGGAGGAGGAAGGGAAGAAAGAGGCGGCACAAAGAUGGAAAAAUUAGGGUUUUAGGAGCGGCAAGGCAAGGAUAAAGAAGAAAAGUUGAAGAAUGAGAGGAAGAGAGGAGGGUGGGACGGCAAAGAGAAAAGAAAAAAUGAUCAAAAGAGGUUGAACAGAAAAUUAAAUAAUAUUUAUAUCUAGGGUUACAGCAUGGGACAAUAUAGCUAGGAUUUUGGACAAAAAAAAUUAAGGGAAGGGAAUUAAAUUCAAGGACAAAUUCAUUAACUCUUAAUCAUCAAACUAAUAACUCUUUCUUUAUUCAAUCAAAUAAAAGAUAUCAAUAAAAUGGGGCAUUAGAGUAGUUGAUAUCUCAGUCCUAGAUGACAUGCCAGGAUUAAUAGACGAUAGUAAUUUGCAAAAGGAGAUACAUAUAAUAAUAAUAGUUUAUAGCCAUUACUUUUUGUAAAGCACAUGAUCAGACAAUCUUGGUAUGGGAAUAAGACGUAAAGGGUUCUUUUUCUUUAUAACAAUUCCAAAUUUGCUGGAAAGGUCAAGCUGUUCGCCUUGGGGCAAUUUCCAUUCAAAAGAAUGCAGCAAUGAGGCCAAUAUGAAAGAUAACAUCUUCUCCGCUAGGGUUAUGCCUGGACAACGUCUCCUUCCUGACCCAAAUGGCAUAUAUCGAAAAUCAUUUCCAAGAAAAUUAAACUUUCCAGGCUCAUCCAAGAACCUUUCGGGUCGAAAUUCUGAAGGGUUGUCCCAAAUAUUGGGGUCCAUGUGAAUGCACCACAUGUUUAAAUACACCUUGCUACCCUUUGGAAUGGUAUAGCCACCCACGGUGAGUGAUUGAGCAGAACAAUGAGGAAUAAGAAGGGGCAGAGGUGGAUGCAAUCUGAAGGUCUCCUUUAUCACUGCAUUUAGGUAACUUAAAUUAGGCAAGUGAAACUCUUCAAUGAUGUCAUUUACCCCAACAACAUCAGUUAGUUCUUUCUUCACUUUCUCCAUUAUUUCUGGAUGUUGCAUUACCUCUGCCAUUACCCACUCUGUCGUAGUUGAAGUAGUAUCUGUUGCACCUACCACAACGUCCUAUUACAAACCACCAAUUACUCAAAACAAAUUAAAGAAGGAAAAAUAAUGUAUGAUAGCUAAAAAUGUUGAAAGCUGGACUGCAAUGCAACAUGGAGCCGGAAGCAUGCUACUAUCGAGACCAGCAGCUAUCGAGCUCAGCUCAUUUUGCUUGGUGUGCACGAAUGGUUUUCAGACCAAAUGAAGCAACUGAUAUUGCUGUUUUGUUUGGAUGUAACUUAGUUCAGUUUGAUUGUAACUAGAUUUAAUAGUUAGUUGGAUUAAGUUUGUGAUUGGAUUGAUGAUGUAAAAGCUGAUAUGUCAGCUUAUUUUGUAUUUGACUUAAGCUUGUAUUAGUUUAGUUUAAGUGGGAGUAGUUAUGUCAUUAGGUAUCUGUCAAAUGAACCAAAAUUUGUAGCUCUUUUAUAUAUUCAAAUUUUGAAUGAAAAAUUUGGAAUGUUCAGUUACAACUUUGCUGAGUAUUCAAUUUUGUUCAUUGCUUUGCUUUUUCUUUGCUUCGAUUCUUCUUGCUUCAGUCUUACAAAUAUAGUUUUGUAACUUUGUUUGAUGUUUGCUGCUGCCAUUGUUCCAACAAAUGGUAUCAUGAGCCCGAGUCUUUGAGGGGCCUUUGUAUGCAAUCUGUUGUGUUCGAAUCAAAACCAACAGCAAGUUCAAAAUUUGGUAAGAUCGAAGCAUUUGGAUUCAGUCUAGCAGGAUGAGUUUCACUCCACCUCCUCCAUCUGUGUUCACUGGAGAAAAAUAUCACAUUUGGAUAGUCAAAAUGAAGACUUACCUCCAGGCACAUGAUCUCUGGAGUGUGAUCGAGAAUGAUGCUGAACCACCUCCAUUGAGAGCCAAUCCCACCAUUGCACAGAUGAGGCAGCAUGCUGAUGAGCGAGCCAAGAAGCAUAAGGCUAUGGCCUGCUUGCAAAAUGGAGUCUCUGAUGUGAUAUUCACUCGUAUCAUGGCCUGUGACUCACCAAAACAGGCCUGGGAGAAGCUGAAGGAGGAGUUCAUGGGGACUGACAAGACAAGGCAACAGCAGGUGAUCAACCUCAGGAGAGACUUUGAAAAUUUGAGGAUGAAGGAGUCUGAGACCAUCAAGCAGUACUCAGACAGGAUAAUGGCCAUUGUCAACAGCAUUAGGCUCCUGGGAGUGGACUUCACAGAGAGCAGAGUUGUUGAAAAGGUUAUUACAACUCUCCCUGAGAAAUUUGAGUCUAAAAUCUCUUCACUUGAGGACUCGAGGGACUUAUCAGCCAUUUCAUUGUCUGAGCUGAUAAACUCCCUGUAUGCACUUGAGCAAAGGAGGGCAAAUAGACAGGAGGAGAAUCCUGAAGCUACUUUCCAGGCUAAAGCCAGUGAAGGCUCGAGUGUGAGUGCAAAAGGCAAGAAGCCUUGGCACAAUAGAAGGGUCAAGUCAGGAAGAGAUGAAGCAAAAAGGGUGUUCCCACCAUGUGUUCAUUGCAAGAAGACAACAUAUUCAGAAAAGUAUUGCUGGUUUAGGCCAGAUAUUCAGUGUAGAAAAUGCAAGCAGUUUGGCCAUGUGGAGAAGGUGUGCAAGGGCAAACCAAGGGAGGCUGCUCUGCAACAAGCUAGACCUGCUGAGGACAUUCAAGCUCAGGAGGAGUAAGUGUUCACAGCAACUUAUUUUGUUGGCACAACCAAGGCCAGCAAUGAUUGGCUACUAGACAGUGGCUGCUCACACCAUAUGGCAGCAGAUGAAAAGCUGUUCAAGGGCCUAGACAGAAGCUUCCACUCGAGGAUUAGAAUUGGAGAUGGUAGGCUGAUUGAAGCUAAUGGCAAGGGCAGUGUGUUGAUUAGCACUGGUUCAGGUAACAAGCUGAUCUCAGAUGUGUUUUUUGUACCUGACUUAGACCAGAAUUUGCUUAGUGUAGGCCAAUUAGUUGAAAAGGGCUAUACAUUGUUUUUUAAGGAUGGUUGCUGUAUUGUUCAAGACAUGAAUGGUCUGGAGUUAGUCACAGUCUCUAUGACUGAUAGGUGCUUCAUGCUUGAUGUUAGCCAAAUAGAAAGAAAGGCAUACACCAGCCUUGUUGAAAGCACUGACUUGUGGCAUAGGAGACUAGGCCAUACAAAUUUUAGAUCCAUCGAUCUGUUACAUAGGCUGAAUUUGGUUGAUGACAUUUCAAAAAUUAAAGUUAAUGGGAAUGUUUGUGAGGUUUGUCAGCUUGGUAAGCAGGCUAGACUGCCUUUUCCUGCUGACAGUGCUUGGAGAGCUCAAAACAAGCUCGAAUUGGUGCACUCUGAUGUUUGUGGCCCUAUGAGAACACCUUCAAUCAGUGAGAACAGGUACUUUGCCCUGUUUAUAGAUGAUUUAACAAGGUUGUGCUGGGUCUACUUCUUGAAGCAAAAGUCAGAAGUGUUUGAAGCCUUCUGCAAAUUCAAGGCUUAUGCUGAAAAUCAGUCAGGCUACAAAAUUAGAGCCCUGAGGACUGAUAAUGGCUCUGAAUAUAUGUCUGAGAGAUUUCAGAAGCUUUGUGACAGUGCUGGGAUUCACCAUCAGCUCACAACAGUCUAUACUCCUCAACAGAAUGGAGUCUGUGAGAGAAAGAAUAGGACUGUACUGAACAUGGCCAGGUGCCUCUUGUUUCAAAGCAAGCUUCCAAGUCAGUUUUGGGCUGAGGCAGUCAACACCUUAGUGUAUCUGCUCAACAGACUGCCAACUAGAGCAGUCAAGGAUAAGACUCCUUUUGAGGCUUGGCAUAGAGUCAAACCUGUGGUAACACACUUGAAAGUGUUUGGCUGUGUAUGUUAUGCUUUUAUUCCAGUGGAAAAGAGGACCAAGCUCGAGAGCAGGGCUACUCCAGGAAUCUUUGUUGGCUACAGCAGCAACAAGAAGGGCUAUAGAGUGUAUGAUCCAACAGCAAAGAAGGUUUUAGUCAGCAGGGAUGUAAAGUUUGAUGAGGAAAAGGUAUGGAAUUGGAAUGGUGUUGAAGCUGACUUGUCUGAAUUGGACCAGUUAGACUUGGUUGCUGAACCUGCAGAAGAAGGACCAAGUAAUGAUGCUGUCGAUGAUACACCAGUGAAGGGCACCAGAACUUUGGCUGAUGUCUAUCAGAGGUGCAAUGUUGCUGUGAUUGAGCCUUCAGACUUUGAAGAGGCUGCCAAGGAUAGAAGCUGGAUGGAAGCUAUGGAAGCUGAGCUGGAAAUGAUCAAUAAAAAUGAAACAUGGGAGUUGGUGAGCAGACCAGAAAAUAAGAAGGUUAUUGGGGUUAAAUGGGUGUACCGGACCAAGUACAAUGCUGAUGGCUCACUGAACAAGCACAAGGCCAGGCUUGUGGUGAAGGGCUACAGUCAGCAGUAUGGUGUGGACUACUUGGAGACUUUUGCUCCAGUGGCAAGACUGGAUACAAUUAAGCUGCUGUUUGCUUUAGCAGCUCAGAAGCAGUGGAGAGUUCACCAAUUGGAUGUCAAAUCAGCAUUCCUGAAUGGUUUUCUCAAGGAGGAGAUCUUCAUCGAGCAACCUGAAGGUUUUGAAGUUGUUGGACAUAAAGACAAAGUGUAUAAGUUGAGAAAGGCCCUCUAUGGCCUGAAACAGGCACCAAGGGCCUGGUAUGACAGAUUUGAUGCUUACCUGACCAAACUUGGAUUUGUGAAGAGCCUUAGUGAGCCUACUCUGUAUGUUAAAAGGUCAGAACAUGAAACCUUGCUGAUUGUCUCCUUGUAUGUGGAUGAUUUGCUUGUGACAGGGAGCAAAGUUGGGCUCAUUGAUGAGUUCAAGGUCCAAAUGCAGCAAGUGUUUGAAAUGACAGAUUUGGGGAUCAUGACUUACUUCCUUGGCAUGGAAGUUCACCAGUCUGAUCGAGGUAUCUUCAUCAGCCAACACUCAUUUGCUUUGAAGAUCCUAGACAAAUUCUGCAUGCAUAACUGUAAAGCAGUCAGCACACCUGUGGCCCAAGGAGAAAAGCUGACUAGCAGUGGUGAUCAGCAGAGGGUUGAUGAGAGGCACUAUCGAAGCCUAGUUGGUUGUCUGUUGUAUCUAACAGCAACCAGGCCAGACAUCAUGUUUGGUGUCAGCCUGUUAUCGAGAUUUAUGUAUUGUUGCAAUGAGGCACAUUUGAAGGCAGCAAAGAGGGUCCUUAGAUACAUCAAGGGCACUGCUAGUUUUGGUGUAAUGUUUGAAAGUGGGAACCAACUGAAACUAGAAGGCUACUCUGACAGUGACUGGGCAGGAUCCCUCGAUGACAUGAAGAGUACCUCAGGAUACUUCUUCACACUUGGAUCGGGGAUGUUUUGCUGGAGUUCAAAAAGGCAGCAAACUGUUGCUCAGUCCACAGCUGAAGCAGAAUACAUUGCUGCAGCAGGAGCAGUUAAUCAGGCCAUUUGGCUAAGGAAGCUGUUUCAUGACCUUAAUGAAACUCAAGAUGAAGCAACUGAAAUUUGGGUGGAUAAUCAGUCUGCAGUUGCAAUAGCCAAGAACCCUGUGUUCCAUGGUAAGACUAAGCAUUUUAAAAUCAAACUGCAUUUUGUUAGAGAAGCUGAACAAGCAAAGGAAGUCAGCCUUGUGCAUUGCAGCUCAGGGGCACAAUUGGCUGACAUAAUGACCAAGUCCUUGGGGGCUGCUCGAUUUGAAUCUUUGAGAAGUGCAAUUGGAAUGUGUUGCAUACAGUCCAAGGAGGAGUGUUGAAAGCUAGACUGCAAUGCAACAUGGAGCCGGAAGCAUGCUACUAUCGAGACCAGCAGCUAUCGAGCUCAGCUCAUUUUGCUUGGUGUGCACGAAUGGUUUUCAGACCAAAUGAAGCAACUGAUAUUGCUGUUUUGUUUGGAUGUAACUUAGUUCAGUUUGAUUGUAACUAGCUUUAAUAGUUAGUUGGAUUAAGUUUGUGAUUGGAUUGAUGAUGUAAAAGCUGAUAUGUCAGCUUAUUUUGUAUUUGACUUAAGCUUGUAUUAGUUUAGUUUAAGUGGGAGUAGUUAUGUCAUUAGGUAUCUGUCAAAUGAACCAAAAUUUGUAGCUAUUUUAUAUAUUCAAAUUUUGAAUGAAAAUUUGGAAUGUUCAGUUACAACUUUGCUGAGUAUUCAAUUUUGUUCAUUGCUUUACUUUUUCUUUGCUUCGAUUCUUCUUGCUUCAGUCUUACAAAUACAGUUUUGUAACUUUGUUUGAUGUUUGCUGCUGCCAUUGUUCCAACAAAAAAUCAUAAAAUCUUACCAUGAGAAGGCCCUUUACUUGAUUCAUCGUAAGUGAUGAAGGGCUAUCUUGGUUCUUGUGUAAAUCCAAGAGCAAUUGUAAGAAGUCGAAUUUUUGUUCACUCAUUUCUUUCUCAGUCACCGUGUUCAUUCUGAGUUCAAUCACAGACUCUAAAAGUUCAUUGAACGAUUGACGGAUUUUCUUCAUUCCCCUCUUAAUACCUUGGAUGUCUAACCAUGCAAUCGCGGGGAAAAUAUCUGAAAUGUUUGGUUUUCCCACUAACACCAUCAUCUGCGAAGAAAUAUCUUUGAAGCGACCCUCAACCGCAGUCCCUUUCUCUCCUCGGAGUGCGCCUCCCCACACCAUCUUUCCGAUCAAAUUGAUUAACGCACAGUAUGCCAAUUCGCCGAUAUCAAUUGGCUUGCCAACAUUUUCAUACACAUCCUCCACCAUUUUCAUCACUUGCUCUCGUCGUAGAUCAUAACAGGCAUUAAGGUUAGCGUUGCUUAGCAUAUCGGUCGCGAGAACUUUGCGCUUGUUUUUCCAGCUGGGACUGCUGUAAGAGUCGAACGCAAUAUCAUUGGAGCCAAAAGUAAUAAUCUGUGCAGCAAUGGGAGGUUCUCGCUCUGAAAAUGCUAUAUCAUGGUCACGAACCACUUCUUUUACAAGCGAUGGAGAACUAAUUACUACGGUUAGCUUGUUCCCAAGCCAAAGCUUGUAAAUGGGACCAUAAACUCCACCCAACUCCGUAAAGACCAGAUGGAGAUUAUCGAAUCCAAGAAAUGGAAGAUACCCCAGGAUUGGCAACCCACGGGGACCAGGUGGUAAAGGAGCCAUCGGUUUCCUUGCCUUCCAAAAUGAGUACAAGAGUGAAAUUCCCUAUGUGGCAACCAGAAAUGAGAAAGAUGCUGGGAACAGUCCAUCUUUCUGGUUGCCAACAUUCAACAGCCAUGAAAACAAGCUGCAAGUUGUUUGCAACAUCUUGUUGCUUUGGGAGGAAAACCAAGAAAUUUUAAUGUGAACCCACUGAGUUUAUCACGAAGCGCUGUGUUUAUUAUUGCUGAAAAGGGACCAUGAUUUACAGUGCAACUGGUUUGGAUAAAAAGAAUAUUUCCUACUUCAACUUUGAGAAAAAAUUUUAAUAUGAUAACUAAAAUUUUAAAAUAUUUUUAAUUUUGAUUAAUUUUAGUUAUUGUAUUUCAAUAUUAUUGUUUUGGUUCUCACUUUUUAUCAUUACAAAAAUAAAUUAUAUUUGAUAAAUAUGAUAUGACAUAUUUACUCAUAUAUUUAGUAGAGGUAUAAUUCUCAUAAUUGUUAUGAUGAUUAAGAUAUGUUUACUCGUAAAAUUUAUUUGAGUUCAGGCUUCCAAAGAUUAAGUAGUAGGCUUUUAUUUAAAUUGUUUCCUUUGAAUGGAGUGCGUACAUUUAUAGUAUAGGUAUGUCUCUACUUUUAUUUGAGUAAUUUCCUUUGAAUGUAGCCUGUACAUAUAUAGUAUAGGUAUGCCCCUACUUUAUGUGUGAACACUAUCCCUUUAAUUAGGCAAUAAAAAGAAAUUGUUAGUCAUCACACAUCUAAGUUAUCCUUUUUGUUCAUAUGAUUAACUAUGUGUGGUGAAAUCUGAAGGCUAAAAAUUAUUUUUUUUAAAAUUAUUGUAAGAAUUUGUAAUUUUUUUAUUUGAAGUAUUUGAUGUUAUUGUGAAAUUAUAUUAAAAUUUAAAAAUUAAAUUAAUUAAAAUUAUAUUUAAAUUCAUUAAUAUUACUAUGUAUGAAAUAUAAAUUUUAAAUAUUUUUAAAUAAUUAAUAUAAUUUUUUUAAAAUUUAAUUUGAAUAUAUAUAUAUGAUAUUUCAAAUAUUAAAAUCACAUAAUUUAAUUUGAAGAUAUCCCACUAUCGGCAACCCUCGAGGGCCUGGCGGCAACUGGGCGACGAUCUUCUUGGACUUCUUAACGGACCAUAGGUGCCAAAGUGAAAUUGCAAGUAUGACCAUGACAAAGGAUAAGACAGCGCGAAAGAGUCCAUCU